rnacentral:rRNA from 1 species
UACAGAGGGUGCAAGCGUUAAUCGGAAUUACUGGGCGUAAAGGGCGUGCAGGCGGUCUGUUAAGUUCAGGGUGAAAGCUCCCGGCUCAACUGGGAGAGGUCCUUGGAUACUGGCAGACUUGAGGGAGGUAGAGGAGAGUGGAAUUCCCGGUGUAGCGGUGAAAUGCGCAGAUAUCGGGAGGAACACCAGCGGCGAAGGCGGCACUCUGGGCUGGUACUGACGCUGAGGAGCGAAAGCGCGGGUAGCAAACAGG